rnacentral:lncRNA from 1 species
GUUGGUUCAUGUCAGCUAUUUACUUUUUGGCAAUUGUUUUAUUAUAAAUUAUGCUGUUACUUUUCUUGUUUGAAAUCUUUCCCUUUUUUCAUGUCUGGACCUUUAUAGAGAACUUACAGUAUACGGUUGAUUUUUUUCAUUGUUGAAAGCUGUAUGGUGGCCUAUAAUUAUGUACAUCCACUUCAUUUGAAUUUGGUGGAUAGUUGUAUCAUUG